UUACCAUGCAAGUCGAACGCUGAAGCUUGGGUGCUUGCAUCUGGGUGGAUGAGUGGCGAACGGGUGAGUAAUACGUGAGUAACCUGCCCUUGACUCUGGGAUAAGCCUGGGAAACUGGGUCUAAUACUGGAUACUACAUUCUCUCGCAUGGGGGUGUGUGGAAAGGGUUUUACUGGUUUUGGAUGGGCUCACGGCCUAUCAGCUUGUUGGUGGGGUAAUGGCCUACCAAGGCGACGACGGGUAGCCGGCCUGAGAGGGUGACCGGCCACACUGGGACUGAGACACGGCCCAGACUCCUACGGGAGGCAGCAGUGGGGAAUAUUGCACAAUGGGCGAAAGCCUGAUGCAGCGACGCCGCGUGAGGGAUGACGGCCUUCGGGUUGUAAACCUCUUUCAGCACGGAAGAAGCGAAAGUGACGGUACGUGCAGAAGAAGCGCCGGCUAACUACGUGCCAGCAGCCGCGGUAAU
rnacentral:rRNA from 1 species